GAGGGUGUGUGGGGAGCCUUGCACCCCGGUGCCUUUGCCCCAGGUUUGUCUUUACAGUGACAGCCCAGAGGAACAAAGGUUGUGUCACCGGUGGGCUUAUGGGGUCUAGGGCCAUAAGCAGUCUCACCCUGGAGCAACCCCUGCCUCUGGGAGGCUUUCAGCUGGCGUGAGGUGCGCGUGAGAUAAGCGGUGGGUGCUGCGGGAGGGCCGGAGCGUACCGAGACGGGAUGAGGGGCGGUGGUGCCCGGCCGCUGCAGACUGUGAGGGGCGACCUCGGCGCGGGUUGCUCCGUGCGGAGGCGUGGCCGCGCGAGGAACCUCACCUCCGAGCGGAACGGCAACGGCUGGCGUGAGGCGGCCUUGGGGGGCGAGUCGCUGUGGAAUCGUGGCUUUUAAUGUAAACUUGGUGGCCUGAGGAGGGUCAGAGGCUCAUCGUAAAAAUGUAGACACUAGCUGUGUUCUUUAAUUUGCUGCAAGUACUUCAUGCAGACCAGAUGAAAACCCGUGGGUAGGUUGGGAGCCUUGUUCCAGGGCCUGUGGUGGAUUUGGUGUGCAGGAGGCUCAGGGGUAAAAAUGUGCAUGAGCUUUUUUUUUUAGUUUAACAAGCUUGGUACCAAGGGGCUCCCAGGUUGUUUUGUAGCCUUGUGAGAAGAGACUGCUUGGGGCUGGGGGAUCUUGGCCCUGGCAUGGCAAGCUUCCAGCUGCUGUGGGGCUACUCUGGGUGACUGGAGCCUUGUAGUGGCAAUGCUGCUCACAAACAGUGAGAACAGGUGAGAGGUGGGACACCUUGUGGGCUCCUAGCCUUGAGAGAAGGGAUCUGUGGGUGAAAGUGUUAAGAGCCUCACCCCAAACUUUUUAUUUUUGCCUUUGAGCCUUCUUAUGAGAGCUAUAUAUGUGACCACAUAGUGUAUGGUGGUGCUUGUGAACUAUAUUCAGAGUAUAUGAGAUGUGUGCUCAGGUAGUCUCAUUCCCUCAGGGGAAGGUGAUGUGGGUAGUGGGACAGUUUUGCUGGGCUUCAAUUUACUGUGCAUGUGCAGGGUGGUUGGAAGUGGCAGGAGUUCAGAUGAGUUUGCGGCUUUGCAAUGAGACCUUUGUUUGGAAGGACAGGAGAAUUGGAAGCGUUCCCUCAGAGCAGUGGACCAAUGCUGUACUUUGGUUAUUGUCAGGGCACUGGCAUGUGUCAUCAUUCAGGAAGCAAGUGAUAAUGGAGUUGAGAAGAGUUCUGGAGACGUGUAAACUUUGCACUUGAGUACCUGAAAAGGAUAUGUUAGCUCAUGGAAGAAAAUAUUGCCUGCAGGGACAAAUACCUGUACCAUGUGUUAAUUUUCUAUGAGAGCAGUGCAGGUAGAAGCAGAAUGCAGUGUUUACCAGUUGCUUGAGUGGUUGAGCGUGGGUGCAGUUUUUCUGUAAGCUUUCAAGAAAAAGCCUGCUGUGGGAGAAGUAGUGAUAUUGGGAGGCUCAUUCUGGAGGGACAGGUGCUUGUGCUGAGUUACCAUUUGGUCUGAGGAAGCAGAGAGCAGGCAUAUCGCUGUGCAGUGGCUGUGGUGCUCAUGAGCCAAGUGAUGGACACUUUAUGGCUAUGCAGGUGGACUUACAGUCUGAGAAUAGGAGCUGAAACUAUAGAUAUAGUCUAGUAAGCAGCUAAACUACAUUGUGUUUGUCCUUUUAGAUUUUUGUUGAUGUUACUAUUAAUGUGUAUGUAUUAUUUCCACCACAGGAAAUAGUUCCCUUUAUGUCAUUGCUAUUAAAUAUGUAUGUUAGAAUUUGAAAUCGCCCUAGAACCCAUGAAGAAUUAAAAACUUCAAGAAGAACAUUAAAAAUAAACUGUUCCCAUAUGGGAAGUGAAGUCAUUUGCCCUUGGCAUGUAUAACUGUUUUGUACAGCACUGCAUACUCUUAUCAAUAAAAUAUUGAAGUCCCAAGCAUCAGAGAUGCAUAACUAGUUACAAGUCAAAACUGCUGUAAAAAAAGCUAUAGCUACAUCCUACCACCAGUCUUUGUCUUUUGACUGAAAUGAUUAUAUCAAUAUUUUGCUUUACUAAGUAAGCUGUAAGAUCUUUCGCCUAUGCCAAUGUAAGUCCUAUAAAUUUCCAUCUGAAAAAUGGUUCAGUUGAUGUUUUGACUUUUGUGUUAUCCUUUGGAGAUGCGUUCCCCAGGAAUACUAAAGGAGGUUGGGGCAUCCUUUUUUUCUAUUGUAGCUAGUGACAGGACAAGGGGUAAUGGGAUGAAGCUGGAACACAAAAAGUUCCAUUUAAAUAUAAGAAAAAAACUAUUUCACUAUUGAGAUGAGGGAGAUCUGGCACAGGCUUCAAGACCCACGUGGACAUGUUCCUAUGUGACCUGAUCUAGGUGAACCUGCUUCUGCAGAGGGGUUGGACUACAUGAUCUCUAAAGGUCCCUUCCAACCUCUACCAUUCUGUGAUUCUAUGAAAUUUCUAAGACUAAUGUUUUUCAUGGCUGCAUUCAUACAGCUCUGUAAGAAGGUGCUCAUAUAAAUUUGAGAUCAAAUGUCUGAGUAGUUACAAUGUCUAUGGACAGGAUGGAUUCUUUGUCACUGCAGACAACUUUGAGGAUAGCUACUAUUUGUAGUGCCCCAAGUCUACUUCCACUGUGUUUUUGUCAUAGAGUGAAAAGAAACUGCAGAACAAAGCUCCAUAAAGCACAAAAGUCAUUAAGACUAAUGAGAGCUAUGGGUCAAGAAAUACAAGCUGAGGCAAUUGGUCCCAAUGCAGUGUGGAAGAAACAUCUCCUGUCUGUACAAAUAGAGGAGGCCAGAAGAACAGGUGGGUUUUUUGCAGUUAUUGAUUGAGAGAAGGUAGGGAGUUGUGUGGGCCAGCCAGUGAAGUGGCCUCAUUAAUACCAAAGUGAACUGAUCACCUCCCAGAUGAAGGAUAGUGUGGUGCCACAUGAGUGCCUGAGAUCCCCCUGAUAAGAAGAUUUUUAUCUUGGCUGCAGUGGUGUACACCAAUGCUGCAUUUCCAGCAGACAAAUUAGUCUCACAUAGCUUAGAAAAUGAACCUGGUAGUUGUCCCUAUGCUUUCUCCCUUUCAUUCCAGUAGUACAUGUGCCUUUUUUCCUGCCUAGACUCAGAUUUGUCUUAUUCUCUUUCAUGCUACUUUGCUCUUGAAGCUAAAAGCUUGUCAUCAAGAUGCUAUCAUGUGCAGCAAGAUCAGUGAAUGUGCUAAAGAGUAACUGAAUAGAAAUACUUGUGUAGGGCAUGAUUUGUGGGGUGAGAUUAGUACAAAGAAUGGGCCUGUACAAAAAGUGAAAUGAUUUCUGAAAAGGUUUUGUUGGAUGUGUUUGUAGCUAGGGUUAACUGCAAGCUAAUAAUUGACAGACUCUCUUAGUAGUUUUGUGUGGGACAGGUUUUUGGUAGCAGGGCAGCUACAGGGGUGGCUUCUUUAAACAAAGAUCUGUCAGAAGCUUCCCCUGUAGCUCAUAGGGCUUGGGCCAGUCAGUUCUAAGAUGGACCCUGCAGCUGACCCAGGCCUGGCCAAUUAGUAUCUGAGGUAAUGCUUCUGUGAAUAAGGUAUUGGAGAAGGGGAAGAAGUUAUUGUGCAGUUGCUGAACUGCAGCAAUAGAGAGUGAGAAUGUGAAAACAUCUCUGCAGACACCAAGGUCAGUGGAGAAGGAGGAUGAGGAGGGUGCUUAGGCCCUGGAAGAAAGACUCCCCUGUGACCUAUGGUGAGGACCAUGGUGAGGCAGCUGUGCCCCUGCAGUCCAUGGAGGACCAUAGGGAAGCAGAGACCCACUCGCAGCCUGUGGAAGACCCCACGCUGGAGCAGGUGGAUGCCUGAAGGAGGCUGUGACUCUGUGGGAAGCUCACCCUGGAGCAAGUUCCUGGCAGGACCUGGGAGUCUGUGGGGAGAGCGGAGCCCAUGCCUGAGCAGGAGAUAUUACUUUUUCCUGGUGAGGCAAGGGGAGGUGUGAACAAGCAGCUGUGUGGUCGGUGUUGCUCCCCAUGUGAGGCACUGCAAUCACAUCAAAGCCAAGCAUCCUCAGAGUGCAGGCCUCAGUUCACUUUCAUCUGGAGGACCAUCCAGAACACCUGGAAUUGACUACCUCAGGGGUGGAAACACAGCCCCACCAUUUGCCAUGGGCUGAUCCAGACUGUGCUGGAAAAGAUACCAAGGUCAGUGGAGAAGGAGGACGAGGAGGGUGCUUAGGCCCUGGAAGAAAGACUCCCCUGUGACCUAUGGUGAGGACCAUGAUGAGGCAGCUGUGCCCCUGCAGCCCAUGGAGGCCACCAGGAAGCAGAGACCCACUCGCAGCCUGUGGAGGACCCCACGCCUGAGUAGGUGGAUGCCUGAAGGAUAUUGUGACUAUGGGAAGCUCACCCUGGGGGAAGUUCCUGGCAGGACCUGGGAGCCUGUGGGGAGAGAGGAGCCCUUGCCAGAACAGGUUUGCUGUCAGGACUUGUGAUCCUGUGAGGGACUCAGGCUGGAGCAGUUGGUACCUGAAGGACUGUCCUCCCAGGGGGUGACCCACCCUGGGGCAGGUUGUGAGGAGCUGCCCCUGUGGGAGGCCCCAUGAUGGAGCAUUUCAUGAGGAACUGUGUCCCAUGGGAAGGACCUACACUCUAGCAGUGGGAAUUGUGAGGAGGCCUUCCGCCGAGAAGAAGCAGCAUCAAAGUCCAUCUGUAAUGAACUGACCACAACAUCCAUCCCCUAUCC